AUAUGAUGGUGAUCUGAUGGUGAUGGUGAUGAUGAUGAUGAUGAUGCGCAUCAUAAUGAUCAUUAUCAUUUUAUCAUUAUCAUUCAUUAUGAUCAUCA
rnacentral:pre_miRNA from 1 species